AUUGAACGCUGGCGGCAGGCCUAACACAUGCAAGUCGAGCGGAUGAAGGGAGCUUGCUCCUGGAUUCAGCGGCGGACGGGUGAGUAAUGCCUAUGAAUCUGCCUGGUAGUGGGGGAUAACGUCCGGAAACGGGCGCUAAUACCGCAUACGUCCUGAGGGAGAAAGUGGGGGAUCUUCGGACCUCACGCUAUCAGAUGAGCCUAGGUCGGAUUAGCUAGUUGGUGGGGUAAAGGCCUACCAAGGCGACGAUCCGUAACUGGUCUGAGAGGAUGAUCAGUCACACUGGAACUGAGGCACGGUCCAGACUCCUACGGGAGGCAGCAGUGGGGAAUAUUGGACAAUGGGCGAAAGCCUGAUCCAGCCAUGCCGCGUGUGUGAAGAAGGUCUUCGGAUUGUAAAGCACUUUAAGUUGGGAGGAAGGGCAGUAAGUUAAUACCUUGCUGUUUUGACGUUACCAACAGAAUAAGCACCGGCUAACUUCGUG
rnacentral:rRNA from 1 species